AUUGCCUUAGUGAAUGUAAACUUGCCACAGUGGCUUAACUGUGAAUUUUUGUACAUAGUCGUAUAUGUAUGUACCUACUUACACACAUAUAUGUACAUGUGUACAUAAUGCCUGCUACAAAGUUUGUAACCUGCAUCAACUCUUGGAUUUUCACAGUUUCGUUGUGUACGUGUGUUGUAUAGCGUGAUAACUUGUUAUGCUCGUUGUAGAGUAUUUUGUGCAUAUCCGUUUGAAUAUUUUACAUGCAAGACGCCUUUUCUUGCCAACAAAAAAUGAAAGUACCCAUGGACAAGGCCGGACCAUUAUGUUUUCUUUCGCGUGCGAGCCCAUUUGCAAAGCACAAAGCAAACGAGUUCUGACGACGCAGGCGCAAAGGAGACGAAAAGAAAAAACGAAGUUCUGUGCUACUGCGCACGGUCGGCAGAACCGAAUUACGUUCGGCACGCGCGGAAAAGAAAGAAACAAAAGA